CUAGCCCCAACAUCAAGGAAGAGGUGGCUCAUUGAACUAUGACCUUAUGCAGAAGAGAGAUUGAUAUUACAAUGAUUAAAAUGACAAGAUGAUAAAUGAAGUGAGAUUACAAAUUGUCAUAUCUACUAUCAUUGUGACAUCAAUUCUGUGGUGGGAAGCACCUCGGAAGAAUUCUGUUUCAGAACCGUGUUGCUAAGCGUGUAGGACAUUACCAGACUUGACCUCAGAGAAAAGUCAAAAGAAAAUAGUUGGUUAUCAUCAAUUGUACAGAAAGACUUCAAUUUCUGUAACUACAUGUCUUUUAACUAUUGGAGGUAAUAAUAAAUUGCUGAUACCAGUGUUCAAAGAACAAUGUUCCCUAUCAGUCAAAAUCUGAAAAGGCUUUAGUAAAAAUUGUGAAGUUUAUUCCAAAGUAUGUACAAAAAUGCGGAAGACACACGCCAGCCAAGGCACAUUUGAAGAGGAACAAAAUUGGAGGAUCACACUACCAGAUUUUGAGAUCUACUUUAAUCUUCAGUAAUUAAGGAUGAUCUGAUACUGGCAU
rnacentral:lncRNA from 1 species